rnacentral:rRNA from 1 species
AGCGUAGGCGGACUUUUAAGUGAGAUGUGAAAUACCCGGGCUUAACUUGGGUGCUGCAUUUCAAACUGGAAGUCUAGAGUGCAGGAGAGGAGAAUGGAAUUCCUAGUGUAGCGGUGAAAUGCGUAGAGAUUAGGAAGAACACCAGUGGCGAAGGCGAUUCUCUGGACUGUAACUGACGCUGAGGCUCGAAAGCGUGGGGAGCAAACA